UGUGGUGUAGCUCAGUGGUAGAGCACUUGCCUAACAUGCACAAGGCCCUUGGCUCAAUCCCCAACAUCGUAA
rnacentral:tRNA from 1 species